rnacentral:rRNA from 2 species
UGAUUGGUGCUUGCAUCAUGAUUUACAUUUGAGUGAGUGGCGAACUGGUGAGUAACACGUGGGAAACCUGCCCAGAAGCGGGGGAUAACACCUGGAAACAGAUGCUAAUACCGCAUAACAACUUGGACCGCAUGGUCCGAGUUUGAAAGAUGGCUUCGGCUAUCACUUUUGGAUGGUCCCGCGGCGUAUUAGCUAGAUGGUGGGGUAACGGCUCACCAUGGCAAUGAUACGUAGCCGACCUGAGAGGGUAAUCGGCCACAUUGGGACUGAGACACGGCCCAAACUCCUACGGGAGGCAGCAGUAGGGAAUCUUCCACAAUGGACGAAAGUCUGAUGGAGCAACGCCGCGUGAGUGAAGAAGGGUUUCGGCUCGUAAAACUCUGUUGUUAAAGAAGAACAUAUCUGAGAGUAACUGUUCAGGUAUUGACGGUAUUUAACCAGAAAGCCACGGCUAACUACGUGCCAGCAGCCGCGGUAAUACGUAGGUGGCAAGCGUUGUCCGGAUUUAUUGGGCGUAAAGCGAGCGCAGGCGGUUUUUUAAGUCUGAUGUGAAAGCCUUCGGCUCAACCGAAGAAGUGCAUCGGAAACUGGGAAACUUGAGUGCAGAAGAGGACAGUGGAACUCCAUGUGUAGCGGUGAAAUGCGUAGAUAUAUGGAAGAACACCAGUGGCGAAGGCGGCUGUCUGGUCUGUAACUGACGCUGAGGCUCGAAAGUAUGGGUAGCAAACAGGAUUAGAUACCCUGGUAGUCCAUACCGUAAACGAUGAAUGCUAAGUGUUGGAGGGUUUCCGCCCUUCAGUGCUGCAGCUAACGCAUUAAGCAUUCCGCCUGGGGAGUACGGCCGCAAGGCUGAAACUCAAAGGAAUUGACGGGGGCCCGCACAAGCGGUGGAGCAUGUGGUUUAAUUCGAAGCUACGCGAAGAACCUUACCAGGUCUUGACAUACUAUGCAAAUCUAAGAGAUUAGACGUUCCCUUCGGGGACAUGGAUACAGGUGGUGCAUGGUUGUCGUCAGCUCGUGUCGUGAGAUGUUGGGUUAAGUCCCGCAACGAGCGCAACCCUUAUUAUCAGUUGCCAGCAUUAAGUUGGGCACUCUGGUGAGACUGCCGGUGACAAACCGGAGGAAGGUGGGGAUGACGUCAAAUCAUCAUGCCCCUUAUGACCUGGGCUACACACGUGCUACAAUGGAUGGUACAACGAGUUGCGAACUCGCGAGAGUAAGCUAAUCUCUUAAAGCCAUUCUCAGUUCGGAUUGUAGGCUGCAACUCGCCUACAUGAAGUCGGAAUCGCUAGUAAUCGCGGAUCAGCAUGCCGCGGUGAAUACGUUCCCGGGCCUUGUACACACCGCCCGUCACACCAUGAGAGUUUGUAACACCC